GACGAACGCUGGCGGCGUGCUUAACACAUGCAAGUCGAACGGUAAGGCCCUUCGGGGUACACGAGUGGCGAACGGGUGAGUAACACGUGGGUGAUCUGCCCUGCACUUCGGGAUAAGCCUGGGAAACUGGGUCUAAUACCGGAUAGGACUCCGGACUGCAUGGUCUGGGGUGGAAAGCUGUUGUGGUGUGGGAUGGGCCCGCGGCCUAUCAGCUUGUUGGUGGGGUGAUGGCCUACCAAGGCGACGAUGGGUAGCCGGCCUGAGAGGGUGACCGGCCACACUGGGACUGAGAUACGGCCCAGACUCCUACGGGAGGCAGCAGUGGGGAAUAUUGCACAAUGGGCGCAAGCCUGAUGCAGCGACGCCGCGUGAGGGAUGACGGCCUUCGGGUUGUAAACCUCUUUCAGCAUCGACGAAGCGAAAGUGACGGUAGGUGCAGAAGAAGGACCGGCCAACUACGUGCCAGCCGCCGCGGUAA
rnacentral:rRNA from 1 species